CCUACGGGUGGCAGCAGUGGGGAAUCUUGCGCAAUGGGCGCAAGCCUGACGCAGCGACGCCGCGUGAGGGAUGAAGGUCUUCGGAUCGUAAACCUCUGUCAGCAGGGAAGAACGGUCGCUGUGCUAAUCAGCAGUGAAUUGACGGUACCUGAACAGGAAGCACCGGCUAACUCCGUGCCAGCAGCCGCGGUAAUACGGAGGGGGCGAGCGUUGAUCGGAAUUACUGGGCGUAAAGCGCUCGUAGGCGGUAUGUCAAGUCAAGGGUGAAAUCCCCGCGCUCAACGUGGGAACUGCCUUGGAAACUGGCAAACUGGAGUGUGUGAGAGGAUAGUGGAAUUCCAGGUGUAGGAGUGAAAUGCGUAGAUAUCUGGAGGAACAUCAGUGGCGAAGGCGACUAUCUGGCACAUAACUGACGCUGAGGAGCGAAAGCGUGGGUAGCAAACAGGAUUAGAUACCCGAGUAGUC
rnacentral:rRNA from 1 species